GGGGCUGUAGCGCAGUGGUAGCGCGUUCGCUUUGCAUGCGAAAGGUCUUGGGUUCGAUCCCCAACUGCUCCA